GCAUAUAAUUAAGCGGAGGAAAAGAAACUAACAAGGAUUCCCUCAGUAAGGGCGACUGAAGCGGGAAGAGCUCAGCUUGUGAAUCUGUACAGACUUGUCUGUGCCGAAUUGUAGUCUAAAGAAGCAACGUAUGUAAUUAUUUCAGACCAAGUCCUCUGGAAAGAGGCGGCUGAGAAGGUGAGACCCCUGUUCUUGUCUGAAAUAAAUGCAAUAUUCUUGCAUUCAAUGAGUCGAGUUGUUUGGGAUUGCAGCUCAAAGUGGGUGGUAAAUUCCAUCUAAAGCUAAAUAUUGGUAGGAGACCGAUAGCGAACAAGUACCGUGAGGGAAAGAUGAAAAGAACUUUGAAAAGAGAGUUAAAGAGUACCUGAAAUUGCUGAAAUGGAAGCAAAGGAAACCAGUGUUAUCUUGGCUCAUUCUUCCUAUGCUGCUUGCAACAUGGGCGCUGUGAUCUUUGAUAGGCCAACCUGGGCUUAAUUCGAGGUAAUCAACCUUGGAUUGGACUUACGUUGGCGAAAUGGUUUUCUUUACCCCGUCUUG
rnacentral:rRNA from 1 species